GCAGGGGGUCGUCGGUUCGAUCCCGACAGGCUCCACCAUUUGAGUGAAACGACUUUGGGUCUGUAGCUCAGGUGGUUAGAGCGCACCCCUGAUAAGGGUGAGGUCGGUGGUUCGAGUCCUCCCAGACCCACCACUCUGAAUGUAGUGCACACUUAAGAAUUUAUAUGGCUCAGCGUUGAGGCUGAGACAUGUUCUUUUAUAACUUGUGACGUAGCGAGCGUUUGAGAUAUCUAUCUAAACGUGUCGUUGAGGCUAAGGCGGGGACUUCGAGUCCCUAAAUAAUUGAGUCGUAUGUUCGCGUUGGUGGCUUUGUACCCCACACAACACGGCGUAUGGCCCCGAGGCAACUUGGGGUUAUAUGGUCAAGCGAAUAAGCGCACACGGUGGAUGCCUAGGCGGUCAGAGGCGAUGAAGGACGUGGUAGCCUGCGAAAAGUGUCGGGGAGCUGGCAACAAGCUUUGAUCCGGCAAUGUCCGAAUGGGGAAACCCACUGCUUCGGCAGUAUCCUGCAGUGAAUUCAUAGCUGCUGGAAGCGAACCCGGUGAACUGAAAUAUCUAAGUAACCGGAGGAAAAGAAAUCAACCGAGAUUCCCUAAGUAGUGACGAGCGAACGGGGAGCAGCCCUUAAGCUGGAAUGGCUUUAGAAAAACAAUCUGGAA
rnacentral:misc_RNA from 1 species